rnacentral:rRNA from 1 species
AGAGUUUGAUCCUGGCUCAGGACGAACGCUGGCGGCGUGCUUAACACAUGCAAGUCGAGCGGUAAGGCCCUUCGGGGUACACGAGCGGCGAACGGGUGAGUAACACGUGGGUGAUCUGCCCUGCACUUCGGGAUAAGCCCGGGAAACUGGGUCUAAUACCGGAUACGACCUUCGGCUGCAUGGCUGGGGGUGGAAAGGUUUACUGGUGCAGGAUGGGCCCGCGGCCUAUCAGCUUGUUGGUGGGGUAAUGGCCUACCAAGGCGACGACGGGUAGCCGACCUGAGAGGGUGACCGGCCACACUGGGACUGAGACACGGCCCAGACUCCUACGGGAGGCAGCAGUGGGGAAUAUUGCACAAUGGGCGAAAGCCUGAUGCAGCGACGCCGCGUGAGGGAUGAAGGCCUUCGGGUUGUAAACCUCUUUCACCAGGGACGAAGCGCAAGUGACGGUACCUGCAG